GACGUAGGGCGCGAGCGUUUGUCCGGAUUUAUUGGGCGUAAAGAGCUCGUAGGCGGCUCGUUGCGUCGGCUGUGAAAACCCGCAGCUCAACUGUGGGCUUGCAGCUGAUACGGGCGGGCUGGGAUUCGGUGAGGGGAGACUGGGAAUUCCUGGAUGUAGCGGUGAAAUGCGCAGACUAUCAGGAGGAACACCGGUGGCGAAGGCGGGUCUCUGGGCCGGAUAUCGACGUGGAGGAAGCGGAAAGCGUUGGGGAGCGAACAGG
rnacentral:rRNA from 1 species